rnacentral:tRNA from 1 species
GGGGAUCUAGCUCAGCUGGUAGAGUGCUUGCCUUGCAUGCAUCAAAGGCCUGGGUUCAAUCCCCAGCACCA